rnacentral:lncRNA from 1 species
CAGGUGUCCUUCGGCUGGCAGGGACCUCCCCAGAGCAUGAUCAGGCAGGCCACUGGCUCAAGGGCACACAGGCCCUGCAUGGGCCCUUCUAGGGUCCUAUGUGGUCUCCUACAGGGUGGAGAUCAUAUUGCUUACACAGCAGCCGAGUUCCCUUACACACCCCUUAAAGGCCCCAAAACAAAGAGCCCUCAUGGGCACCCUACUUGGGAUUCCCCUCCCAGCUAGCAGGAGCUUUACUUCUUUGUCUUUACUUUCUUGGCUUUAUAUCUUUUACCUUCUUGCCUUUACAUCUUUUAAAUAAAUUUGCCUGGAUCUUGCAUCCACUGUCCUUGGUUUCGCUCUGCGUCACCGUGGGCCAUGACCCCAGUGUUGUGGUAACAAUAAAGCUCUUCUCUCUGACUCUGAGGAGGAAGACAUUAGAGGACAGAAGCCAGGCUCCGGGAGAGGGAUGAGCAUCCUGCUGGCUCUCUGGCGGGGUUUCUUGGUAGGGUGCCCCAUUUUCUCUGGGACACUCUCACUUGGCCAGUACCAUCAAGGACCCCAGUGAUCCAGCCCAAGCAGACAGGAGCCUCCCAGUGAACUCUGCAAUUGGAGGAGGGCCCAAACACAGCCCUGACAAAGGCCAAGCCACCUACAAGGUCACACAGGCCCCAGUGUCUGCUCUGUGACCCGCUUCACAUGAUAGGCAUCUUCCCUGCAGAGAGACACCUUGGGGAGACAGAAGGCCCCACUCAGCAGCUGGGCACGGUGCCUCCAGGGUCUCUGCAGACUGGGGACAGAGCCUGCUUCUGCACUUGGCCCUGGGCAAGCUGUCCCUAGAGCCAUAGAAGAGGUUUGCAGACAGGUGGAGACAUAACAUAGAUGCAUCUGAAUCUGCAGGUGGUACUAUGACGGCCCGGAGGACCGGAUGUAGAGGGAUGGAUUUGAAUGACCACCUUGUCCUGGAUAGUCUGGGCCCAGUGGCCAACGGCUCCAUUUCUCUGAGCCUCAGCUUCUUUGCCUGUGAAAUGGGAGAACACCUGGCCAGCCUCCCUCACAGCACAGUCCCGAGGCAGAAAAGCCAGUUAAAGAUCACGCAAAUCAGAGGCAGUAUGCCAAGAUGUGGAAGACUCCCGAAAGGCACUUGGGCAAAAAAUGGACAUAAUCUGAGAAACAAAAGCCUGGAGAAGUUGAAUCAUGACCAGCUUGGAGACUGGAGGGGAGUGGGUGUGAAUGAAGCAAGGUGUGAGCAGGUGAGAUCCAAAUGUGGGCAGGGUUGCUGGGGAGACAGCAGGCUGCAGUCCUAA